rnacentral:rRNA from 1 species
AUUGAACGCUGGCGGCAGGCUUAACACAUGCAAGUCGAGCGGAAACGAUGUAGCUUGCUACAGGCGUCGAGCGGCGGACGGGUGAGUAACGCGUAGGAAUCUGCCUAGUAGUGGGGGACAACAUGUGGAAACGCAUGCUAAUACCGCAUACGCCCUACGGGGGAAAGGAGGGGAUCUUCGGACCUUUCGCUAUUAGAUGAGCCUGCGUAAGAUUAGCUAGUUGGUAGGGUAAAGGCCUACCAAGGCGACGAUCUUUAACUGGUCUGAGAGGAUGGCCAGUCACACGGGGACUGAGACACGGCCCAGACUCCUACGGGAGGCAGCAGUGGGGAAUAUUGGACAAUGGGCGCAAGCCUGAUCCAGCCAUGCCGCGUGUGUGAAGAAGGCCUUAGGGUUGUAAAGCACUUUCAGGGGUGAGGAAGGGUGUUUGGUUAAUAUCCAAACAUUUUGACGUUAGCCCCAGAAGAAGCACCGGCUAACUCUGUG